GCUGGGCGCGGUAGCGCAUGCCUGUAAUUCCAGCGGCUUGGGAGGCUGAGACAGGAGGAUGGCGAGUUCAAAGCCAUCCUCAGCAAAAGCAAGGCACUAAGCAACUCAGUGAGACCUUGUCUCUA
rnacentral:sRNA from 1 species